UACGUAGGGGGCGAGCGUUGUCCGGAGUUACUGGGCGUAAAGGGCAUGCAGGCGGUGGGGCGCGUUUGGUGUGACAGCGGACGGCUUAACUGUCCGAGCAUACGAAAGACGGCCUCACUUGAGAGCGCGAGAGGGACACGGAAUUCCGGGUGGAGUGGUGAAAUGCGUAGAGAUCCGGAGGAACACCGAAGGCGAAGGCAGUGUCCUGGCGCGUAUCUGACGCUCAUGUGCGAAAGCCAGGGGAG
rnacentral:rRNA from 1 species